UACGUAGGGUGCAAGCGUUGUCCGGAAUUAUUGGGCGUAAAGAGCUCGUAGGCGGUUCGUCACGUCGGCUGUGAAAACCUGAGGCUCAACCUCAGGCCUGCAGUCGAUACGGGCGGACUUGAGUACUGCAGGGGAGACUGGAAUUCCUGGUGUAGCGGUGAAAUGCGCAGAUAUCAGGAGGAACACCGGUGGCGAAGGCGGGUCUCUGGGGCCGUAACUGACGCUGAGGAGCGAAAGCGUGGGGAGCGAACAGG
rnacentral:rRNA from 1 species